UACAGAGGUGGCAAGCGUUAUUCGGAAUUAUUGGGCGUAAAGGGCGCGUAGGCGGCUUGGCAAGUGGAAGGUGAAAUCCCUCGGCUUAACCGAGGAACUGCCCUCCAAACUGCUUCGCUUGAGACCGGGAGAGGUGAGUGGAAUUCCCAGUGUAGCGGUGAAAUGCGUAGAUAUUGGGAGGAACACCAGUGGCGAAGGCGGCUCACUGGACCGGUACUGACGCUGAUGCGCGAAAGCGUGGGGAGCAAACGGG
rnacentral:rRNA from 1 species